AACUCGCCUACAUGAAGCUGGAGUUACUAGUAAUCGCAGAUCAGAAUGCUGCGGUGAAUGCGUUCCCGGGUCUUGUACACACCGCCCGUCACACCACGGGCGUUGGAGACGCCCGAAGCCGAUUAUCCAACCUUUUGGAAGAAGUCGUCGAAGGUGGAAUCAAUAACUGGGGUGAAGUCGUAACAAGGUAGCCGUAUCGGAAGGUGCGGCUGGAUCACCUCCUUUCUA
rnacentral:rRNA from 1 species